GUAGCACUUGUCCCAGCUGUCCUCUGUGACCAGACCAAGAGCAGCCAGUGUGCAGGAGGAGCGGGCCGCCCCCGGGCCAUCUACAGAGGAGCCGUACAGGCUGGAGUCCCCCAGAAGCUCAGAGUGAGCGGCUCCAAGAGGGGAAGAGAGGUCCCUGCGGUCCCAGCGUGGUCAGUGACAAGAGCCCUGCAUCACAGAGCCAGGCCCAGCUCUCCCCGGCUGGGACACUUGGAGGCCGUGUUGGGGCUGAGGUUCUAAGUGGCCUCUCACAUCCAUCCUGUUCCUCGCUGCAUUUCAGAGCUCUCACGAGCUUUCUUGCACUUCUUUCCAUGCUCUCCUCCAGGCCAGCGGAAGAGGCAGGGCAGCCUGUGUCCCCACCGUGCAGACACCAAGACCAAGACCCAGGUCA
rnacentral:lncRNA from 1 species